rnacentral:rRNA from 1 species
AACGAACGCUGGCGGCAGGCCUAACACAUGCAAGUCGAACGAUAGAGUGGCGAACGGGUGAGUAACGCGUGGGAACGUACCCUUCUCUGCGGAAUAGCCUCUGGAAACGGGGAGUAAUACCGCAUACGCCGGAAACGGGAAAGAUUUAUCGGAGAAGGAUCGGCCCGCGUCUGAUUAGGUAGUUGGUGUGGUAACGGCGCACCAAGCCUACGAUCAGUAGCUGGUCUGAGAGGAUGAUCAGCCACACUGGGACUGAGACACGGCCCAGACUCCUACGGGAGGCAGCAGUGGGGAAUCUUGGACAAUGGGCGCAAGCCUGAUCCAGCCAUGCCGCGUGAGCGAUGAAGGCCUUAGGGUUGUAAAGCUCUUUCGCCAGGGAUGAUAAUGACAGUACCUGGUAAAGAAGUCCCGGCUAACUUCGUGCCAGCCGCCGCCGUAACAC